UACGAAGGGUGCAAGCGUUACUCGGAAUUACUGGGCGUAAAGCGUGCGUAGGUGGUUUGUUAAGUCUGUUGUGAAAGCCCCGGGCUCAACCUGGGAAUGGCAAUGGAUACUGGCAGGCUGAGAGUGCGGUAGAGGGUGAGUGGAAUUCCCGGUGUAGCGGUGAAAUGUGUAGAGAUCGGGAGGAACACCAGUGGCGAAGGCGGUUCAGCCUGGA
rnacentral:rRNA from 1 species